rnacentral:tRNA from 1 species
GAGGGCAUAGCUCAGUGGUAGAGUGUGUGUGCUCAGCAUGCAUGAAGUCCUGGGUUCAAUCCCCAGUACUUCCA